GGGCUCGUCAGACCUCUUUGCCUCACUUUGUGUGAGCUGAGAUACAAUCCAUGGACAGUGCGCACAUCUUCAGUGUGUGCCUUGAUUCAUUUCCACCAUACACACAACCUUGCAGCCUCCUCCCUGGCCAGGAUUUAGGUGGAGAAACACUGAAGCAUUGACAAGGGAAGAAGCUCUCCACCCCCUCACCUGCCCAGAGGUACAGAAGAAUGUGCUCACAGCAUGAUGUCAUGAAUAUGGAGAAAGUUCAGCCUUUCCAAAUGGUGGAAUUAGAGAGUAACCUCAAGAAAAGGACUCUGGGAGAAAUAAUGGGAAGCAGUGCUUUGCCCAGGAAGCUGCAAACAUCUGGAAUUAAUCUGC